rnacentral:rRNA from 1 species
GACGAACGCUGGCGGCGUGCCUAAUACAUGCAAGUCGAACGCAGUUGCGAACGGGUGAGUAAAGCGUAGGUAACUGCCUCAUAGCGGGGGAUAACUAUUGGAAACGAUAGCUAAUACCGCAUACUGUGAGAUGGACCUGCGUUGUAUUAGGUAGUUGGUGAGGUAAAUGCUCACCAAGGCGACGAUACAUAGCCGAGCUGAGAGGGUGAUCGGGCACAAUGGGACUUGGAAACGGGUCAGAAUCCUACGGGAGGCAGCAGGAGGGGAUCAUCGGAAAAUGACGGAAGUCUGACCGAGCAACGCCGCGGGAGUGAAGAAGGUUUUCGGAGCGUAAAGCUCUUUUGUUAGAGAAGCGGUACCUAAAGAGAAAGGGACGGCUAACUACGUGCCAGCCGCCGCGGUAAUUC